GGCCCCGCCGCCCCGCUUCCCCCGCCCCGCCACUUUGCGCCGUCCCAGCAGCGCGGAGCCGCGCCACCCUCCCCGUUCCUCCGUCACCGCGGGGGCUGCGGAGUUCCGCGCGGGCACCCUCAGCUGCGGAGGAUGGGGAUGGCUCCUCCGGGGAAAGUUGGCGCUGCCGCCGCCGCCGUGCCGUGAGGGGAGCGCCGCGGGACGCCGUCCGUCCGUGUGCGCGUGUGCCCCACGCCCUCCCGCCCUCUCGGCGCCCCGGAGAAGUUGCCGCCGCUCGCCGGGGCGAUGGCAGAGGCUGCCGGCAGCAGGGAGCAGCCGGCGGCGGGCCGCGCCCCUCCUGACGCCGCUCACCGUGCCGAGGAGGAGCCCGAGCCGGCUUCGCUGGACGCCCCGGCGGCGGCCGCGGGCAGGAGGCGGGAGCGGCGCAGCGGCGUCUCGGCCGUCGGCACCGCCGAGCGCUUCCCCGGCGGCAGCCUGGGGACGGCGGCGGCACCCGACCCCGACGCCUGCCUGCUGGAGGCGGCCAAGGCCACCCCGCGGAGGAGCAGCAUCAUCAAGGAUCCUUCAAACCAAAAAUGUGGAAGAAAGAAAACAGUGUCCUUCAGCAGCAUGCCAUCGGAGAAGAAAAUAAGCAGCGCCAGCGACUGUAUCAGCUUUAUGCAGGCUGGGUGUGAAUUGAAGAAAGUUCGUCCAAAUUCCCGGAUUUAUAACCGUUUUUUUACUCUGGAUCCUGACCUGCAGGCUCUUCGUUGGGAGCCUUCCAAGAAGGACCUUGAGAAAGCCAAGCUUGAUAUUUCUGCUAUAAAAGAAAUCAGACUAGGGAAGAACACAGAAACAUUCAGGAAUAAUGGACUCGCAGACCAGAUUUCUGAGGACUGUGCGCUGUCGGUAAUUCAUGGUGAGAACUACGAGUCCCUUGAUCUGGUUGCCAAUUCAGCUGAUGUGGCCAAUAUUUGGGUAUCAGGAUUAAGGUACUUGGUUUCUCGUAGCAAACAACCCCUGGAUUUGAUGGAAAGCAGCCAUAAUACCCCACGGUUUGCCUGGCUAAAAACUGUAUUCGAAGCAGCAGAUGUUGAUGGUAACGGCAUAAUGUUAGAAGAUACAUCUGUGGAGCUAAUAAAGAAGCUUAACCCCACCUUAAAGGAAUCAAAGAUUAGAUUAAAAUUUAAGGAAAUCCAGAAGAGCAAAGAGAAACUGACAACACGAGUAACGAAAGAGGAAUUUUGUGAAGCAUUUAGUGAACUUUGCACAAGACCUGAAGUUUAUUUCUUACUUGUGCAGAUAUCUAAAAACAAAGAGUAUUUAGAUGCCAAUGACCUCAUGCUGUUUUUAGAGGCUGAGCAAGGAGUGACCCACAUAACAGAAGAAAUGUGUCUAGAUAUUAUACGCAGGUAUGAGCUUUCUCAAGAAGGGCGAUUGAAAGGUUUUCUUGCAAUUGAUGGAUUCACUCAAUACUUGUUGUCCCCAGAAUGUGAUAUUUUUGACCCAGAGCACAAAAAAAUUGUCCAAGACAUGACACAGCCUUUGUCACAUUACUACAUCAAUGCAUCCCACAAUACAUAUCUAAUAGAAGACCAGCUCAGAGGGCCAGCUGAUAUCAACGGUUAUGUCAGAGCUUUAAAGAUGAGUUGUCGGAGUAUUGAACUAGACGUCUGUGACGGCCCAGAUAAUGAACCCAUUAUUUGUAACCGUAACAACAUGACAUCGCCACUUGCCUUUCGAAAUGUUAUUGAGGUAAUAAACAAAUUGGCCUUCUUUGCUUCAGAAUACCCCCUUAUUCUCUGCUUGGGAAACCACUGCUCAGUACCACAGCAGAAGGUAGUGGUACAACACAUGAAAAGGAUCUUUGGAAACAAACUAUACACAGAGGCACCUGUAUCCUCAGAAGUCUACCUCCCAUCGCCCGAGAAACUGAAAAUGAAGAUCAUUGUGAAGGGGAAGAAGCUGCCCUGUGACCAAGACAUAUUAGAAGGAGAAGUCACGGAUGAAGAUGAAGAGGCUGAAAUAUCCCGGAGACUGUCAGAGGACUUCUCAAGGGAACCGAAGCUGAUCUGGCUCUGCAGGGAAUUGUCCGACUUGGUGUCCCUAUGCAAGUCUGUCCAAUACAAAGACUUUGAGACAUCCAUGAAAGCUCAAAAUUAUUGGGAAAUGUGCUCCUUCAGUGAGGCAGAAGCCAGUCGGAUUGCAAAUGAAUACCCUGAAGAUUUUGUCAACUACAAUAAAAAGUUUCUGUCCAGGGUGUACCCAAGUGCUAUGAGGAUAGACUCUAGUAACUUAAAUCCUCAAGAUUUUUGGAAUUGUGGUUGCCAGAUAGUGGCAAUGAACUAUCAGACCCCAGGGCCCAUGAUGGACCUACACACUGGCUGGUUUCUACAGAAUGGGGGAUGCGGGUAUGUUCUCAGGCCUUCAGUAAUGCGUGACGAAGUGUCUUACUUCAGCGCAAAUACCAAGGGCAUUGUUCCGGGGGUCUCUCCCCAAGUCCUACAUGUCAAAAUAAUCAGUGGUCAGAACUUUCCAAAGCCCAAGGGUGCAUGUGCAAAAGGGGAUGUCAUAGACCCCUAUGUCUGCAUAGAAAUACACGGCAUUCCUGCAGACUGCACUGAACAAAGAACUAAAACUGUUCAGCAAAACAGUGAUAACCCCAUUUUUGAUGAAAGCUUUGAGUUCCAGAUCAAUCUACCAGAGCUGGCCAUGAUCCGUUUUGUUGUUUUGGAUGAUGACUACAUUGGGGAUGAGUUCAUAGGGCAGUACACCGUCCCGCUGGAGUGCUUACAGCCUGGAUAUAGGCACAUACCGCUGCGAUCUUUUGUUGGUGAUAUCAUGGAGCACGUUACCCUCUUUGUUCACAUUGCUAUAACCAACCGAAGUGGAGGCGGGAAGGCCCAAAAGCGCAGCCUCUCAGUGAGGAUAGGAAAGAAAGCAAGGGAGUACACUAUGCUGAGGAACACCGGUCUCAAGACUAUUGAUGAUAUCUUUAAGUUGGCAGUGCAUCCGCUACGAGAGGCUACUGACAUGAGAGAAAAUAUGCAGAAUGCUAUGGUGUCUGUCAAGGAGCUGUGUGGGCUGCCGCCCAUCGCAAGCCUGAAGCAGUGCAUCCUGACCCUGUCCUCGCGGCUUGUGAGCAGUGACAACGCACCCUCCGUUACCCUCUGCAUGAAGGACGCGUUUCCUUACCUAGAGCCUCUGGGGACCGUGCCCGAUGUGCAGAAAAAGGUCCUGGCAGCAUAUGACCUGAUGAUUCAAGAGAGCAGGGUUCUCAUUGAGAUGGCAGACAUCACUCAUGACAAGAUUGUUCAGUGCCAGAAAGCAGGAAUGGAAUUCCAUGAAGAGCUUCAUAACCUCGGGACAAAGGAAGGUUUGAAAGGAAGAAAAUUAAGCAAAGCCAUUGAGAGUUUUGCAUGGAAUAUCACAGUGCUAAAGAUCGCUGAAGGAUGGAGAGCCUCACCCUGCCUGCCUGCAUGAACUUGGCUAUUGAUCUAUAUAGCAGCAGGACUUGGGGUUUCUUGCAAGGUGACUGUUGUGAAAUAGAGUGAAACUUCCAGUGGAGUAUUACAUUUGUGUGUGUUUGGAUUCUGCUGGGAAUAUGCACGUUUUCUGGAUGUCAUUCUCCAGGCUAUGAAAGAUGCUUCUGAAGAGGAAGGAAUCUACUUCUUAGGCAAAUUCACUUACAACCAGGAUGGGACCCCCAUGCAGACUUUCAAGUUGGAGAACUAGGUGCACUCCUGUGGCCUGCACAUCCAUCCCAAGUAUGGUCUCCAAAUGGUGGCUCCUCUGGAACUACUCAGUACCCACAAGUACUGUGGCCCUGCAUGAGCCCCACACAGGCCUUUAGGAAAAUAAAUGAAUAAGACAAGCAUGCAUUAAUCAGACCAAUAUGUGGAGGCAAAUGGAAAGAAUUUUCCACACCUAAACCUGAGCAUCAUUCAUACUACACAUGUAUUUAUCGAAUUCAACUGGAUGGGAACCCUGUCCUCUGAAGAACACAGUUGUGAAGAGCCAGAAAAUAGAUCAUUACAUCUGGUAACUGCAUUGAUGUAAGCUGAUAACAGAGGUGGAUGCAGAGCAAUUCUCUCCAUUCCUUCUGGAUUGCACUGUGAUGGGAGAGAUGAUAAAGAAAAUUUCUGCUGUGCAGAUGAUUAUGAUUGUGAUUAUGAUAGAUGAAAGCCCCUCUAAAGAUGACACUUUCUUGUUCUCUUUCUUGACCUUCUGGUAUAUGUUGAGUCUUGGUUGCUGACUAAAGUGGCAACACACAUAAUCAAGAUUUAAAGGCCCUAAUUCAUAAAUCUAAUAACAACACUAAGAGAAGCUGAGGUGUAACUCCUCUUACUAGUGUAACAUUAAUGGAACUGGUAUCACAUUUUUCCCUGUAAAAUAGCUAAUUCUGCAGUGGGGCUGAGAAAAGGAUCUGGGUUGUCUUUCAGGCUCCAGUGGGCUGACCAUUAGGAAGGAAGCCAUCUUGCUGCCUUCACUAGGGAGAAAGGGACACUGUGUGAGAGACACUUUUUAAAGCAGUUUCUCAUGUUCAGCCCUAUGUUGAGGAAUUUGGCAACCUGCAGCUAGGGAUACUUAGUGGUAUCGCUCAGAAAGGGGAUGCACUGGCUGUGAGCUGACACGGGCCAGUUUGAGUUGCUAUGGUCCUCAAAAGGGACUUUGCCAAAAAAGGAGAAGAAUUCAUCACCUAUUAGAACAUCUCUUUGCUGUAGUAUGCAAGCAAUUUAGUAGAGUCUCUGUAUACGAGUACUGGCAGUCUUUGAAACGAAAGAAGUAGGGUUGCUUUGUGUGCACUGAAGAAUUUUUGCUAUUGACUUCACUGGAGCCAUGAUUCUUCACCAGAUCCAUAUCCUGAAGGCCUACAGCACCCUUAAAAAGGCUACUGCAAAUUAUAAAUCAUAAUCACAGUCCUCAGUUGACAUGACAACCAGCACCACUCCUGCUUAUGAUCUAGCCCUGCAAACCUGUAACCCUCUGUCUUUACCAAACUCAGUACUCACUCAUGAGAUUCCUUUGUCCCUACUUUUUUUUACUGGAACUUUUGUUGACAAUAAAGAGCAUCUUUUUUAAAAAAAGUGUUUGAAGGCAAAUUAUACUCCUGGGUCCUUAGUGCUUCAGUGUUUGGGCUUCAAACACUCUGGGACAUGCUGAUUUGUUUAAUAGCUAUAGUCCUUGCUGGAAUGUUUUAAAAUUGUGUAAACAUUCCUACUAGUUUUAUAGGUCUCUAAACUGUUUUUUUAUGUGGGUACAAAUUUAAGUUGACAGUGUACUUUCCAAGCUUCCAUUAAAUAGGGCCAACUGGCUAUUGAUAGAGGAAUAUCUCUGAAAUAGCUUUAUGAUGCCUUGCAAUGGAAGACUUUUCAUUAACUCCAAUUAAAAAAAGAAAAACAACCUACCAUGCAUUUGUAAGUCUUUUAUCAGUUCUUGCUGUGCCCUAAUGUCUGUGGGACUCCUGCUGGUGGAAAGGGGAAGAGAAGAGAGUGGAAAAAUCCAAGGAUAAUUUAACAAAGGAACGUAUUUUCACUGUACAUUGUGUGGCAAACGCCAGUUACUGUUAUCAUGCAGCCACCAAAGAUCUCAAUGCUUUGAAAAUUCUCACUUAUGUGAUGCAGUAUGUUGGUGCUUUCCUUACAUAACUAUGUUUUACCUCUCUUCAAGUGUGUCAGUGCUGCUUUAAAAGAUCAGUAUAGAAAACUUCUGCAACUAUACUGUCUGAUUUCAGUUUUCCUUAAUUUGGUGUCAGCCAAGCUCCUACAGUUGCUUGUGGAUCCAGACGAUUAAAAGGGACAGAGCUGAACGUGCUGCAUUUUGGGGAUUUAAGUCUACUUUUCCCCCCUCUAAAUUUUGACCUUUUCAAAAUGAGCUUUUUUCUUUUUUUUUCUUUUUCCCCUUUCUUUUUCUUUCUU